GAUGAACGCUGGCGGCGCGCCUAACACAUGCAAGUAGAACGAUUAAAGCACCUUCGGGUGUGUAUAAAGUGGCGAACGGCUGAGUAACACGUGGGCAACCUGCCCCUCUCAUUGGGAUAGCCACGGGAAACCGUGGAUAAUACCGAAUACUUCGAGUCUCCCGCAUGGAAGACUCGAGAAAGCUCCGGCGGAGAGGGAUGGGCCCGCGGCCUGUUAGCUUGUUGGUGGGGUAACGGCCUACCAAGGCAAUGAUGGGUAGCUGGGUUGAGAGACCGACCAGCCAGAUUGGGACUGAGACACGGCCCAGACUCCUACGGGAGGCAGCAGGUGGGGAAUUCUUGCACAAGUGGGCGAAAGGCCUUGA
rnacentral:rRNA from 2 species